UUGACUGAGAAACUUGUGUCUACACAUCCAUAAGCUGAAAUCUACAAUGUCGGUUAGAGGUCUUGGCGUGCGAAGACGGGUGAGGCAAGCCGUAGCGAAACGGAGACAGAGAGAGGGACGGGGGAUGCGGGCGGCAGUUGAUCCGGACCCGGCGAAAGAACAAAGGGCCCAGAUGGCGUAGAAGGAAUGCGGCGGAAACGGCGCCGGCAUCAGCUCAUGUACCUCGAUCAAAAACAGAGGCGGAACUCGCAGCAGCGUCACCUUCAAAACGUAAACGCGAAGACGAUAACGCCGCAAACGGUGAGGUUGUUGAUUUCUAUGAUAUUUUCCGCACAGCCGAUGGGCUACCACGUAGUCACAACGUGGGUAAGCACGAGGCACUAGCGUGCCAUGCAAACGAAAUCUUACCGACGAAAAACUAAUGAUGAUGUAUCAAUUUACGUGUCCGCGUCGCUUACACUGCGACGUGUAUUUGUUGUUGCGAAUAUUUUAAUCUUGCAUUAUUGCUUAAAACCGCCCGAGUUGAUAUUUCUCAUAAAACUCCAGUUAUCUCAACUGACUAGAAUUGAUCAGUAUUCUUCAGACACAUUCUAAAGCCUAACCCUUCCAUUAUAACCGGUCCUAUUUACUACCGAUUAUAUUUUAUUUCUUACUCGGGAUCUUUUGGAUAUAUUAGGAUAUUUUUUGUUUAUUUCGUGUGUUUAAUCUUAUUCAUGAAAUGUUUUUUCCAUUACCGCGUUAAGCACUAAUUAUUAAAUAGAUAUAUUUAUAUAUUCAUUGCCUGAUGGUUUGAUGAUAAUAAUUCAUAACCAACGAUCUUGCGAAGGCAGUUUAAUUUUAUUUCUGUAAAGCGAGACAGAAAAUACGGUUUGCGUGAAGCUUAAAUACUGAUAAUAGGGGUGUGAUUUCGAUCGUGAUAGGUCCGGACUUUCCGUAAGACAGUUUUCAACAAAAGUGCUAACUGGUAUUAAUCGGUUUCUCCUUUUUUUAGUAAGUUCAUAUGUAUAUUUUUCUGGUGAAUAAAGUGUCCAAUCUACUUGUAAUAAUAUAUUUUUAUAAUUCCUCGGUGCUGAAUAAGUGACCUGCGAUCAGAUUCGUACUGUUUUUUACCCGGAUUUAUAUCCUUGGAACUGGGGAUAUGUAUUUUGAUGAACCGAAUUCUCUCUUAAUUAUAUUAUGUCUUUAACCUCAACCGGAAUAUAUGUUUUGUUUCGUUUUUGUUAAUAAAAAUCUGCUUGCGAAGUAUUUUCUUGCUGUAGGUAAAGACAGGUGUUAAAACAUGUACUUAUUUCUUUUGUUCAUGGUAACCAUUUGCUAUUCUUAUAUGAUUAUUACAUAUGAUAAUUAUAUCUAAUAUAAAAUUAAAUGAAAAUUAUAUUUCAUAAAAAAAAUUAACAAUUAAUGUAAAUAUAUUAAUGCAUGAAGUCAGUGUUUUGUUUUUAAAGGGAUAACACCAUACUGAUUUUCGCAAAAAUUGUGCCAAAAAUUCCAAAAGCAUUACAAAAAUAUGAAACCUAAUCAUGUACAUAACGGAAUUGUCCAGGAGCCGUAUUCACCAAUGAACGUAAGUCUCAAAUCUUAGACUCAGCUCAAGUUUCUGACUCAGACUCAAACUCAGGCUGACAAAACUUAAUUCACGAAACAUAAAACGGUAAGUUUUAGACUCAGACUCAGUAAUGUAAGUCUCAAAUGCUAAGUCUACAAUGUUUAGACUUACGUAAUACAAUCGCGACGUAACGUUAUACGUUAAACUUUCAUUCCAUAUAACAGACAUACAGUCACAACUCACAUUACAUUUAAACUAAAAUCCAUGUAUUUAUUAAUAUUUAAAUUUCCCCCAAAAUAUCUUAAUUUUAAACGAUUAACUUUCAGGUUUCCCAAGACUUUGGGAUGUAUUGAUUGCACACACGUGCACAUACAAAAGCCUAAUGAAAAGAAGACUUCAUAGAGCGAAAAGGUAUACCCACAAUCAAUUUACAGGCUGUCUGUGAUGCACAAUACAAAAUAACAAGUUUCAAUGCCAACUGGCCAGGGCGGACACAUGAUGCCCGAAUUUGGAGAAACUGCGAACUAAAAGAUCAGUUUGAAAAUGUUCAACACGCUGGAAAAGUGAUCUGCGACAGUGAAUAUGGUUACUCAAGGCAUCUUAUGAUCCCGUAUCUGCGACCAGUCAAUGCAGCACAGGAACAGUUUAAUCGUUCACUUUGUGGAUGCUGAAAAAAGGCUUAAAAGUGUAAUUUUGAUAAAUGGACGUAUUCUCAUGAUAUGACAUUCAAAUGUAUAUAUCAAUGAAUAUCAAAUAAUCCAUUCAUUAGCACUUGAUUUUGGCAUAUAUAAUGCUAGUUAUAUUUCAAAGUAUGCAUGAUAUUUUUGCAUUCUAAAUAGUAACACAUUAGUUAUACAGUGCUUGCUCUAUCAGAUGGAUUGCUAUUGUCAUUCCAGUUUUUAGAACUGGUAUUCAAUCAAUGCAAGUUUCAUACUUUUAAAGUGUCUUGUUAAUACCUGUUAUAUUAGACAAUCUAUGCCUUUGAAAAAAAAAGAAUAAACAUUCUGUGAUUUUUGCAGUGCAUUUACCUCCAAUUAGAGCUACCAUAAUAUUAAGUUUCAAAUUGACAACCUUUUUAGUGGUAAGGAUUAGCUACUAACAAAUUGAAAUACAUAUUUAAACAUAUCCAAAACUUACAUUCUUUUUGCUUCAUGCCUCUACUUGACAGUACAUGUGGAAUCUGAAAAAAACAACGAAAAAUUAUAUUGUCACUUUAAAAAUCAAAAGAAAUUAAAUAAAGUGAUGUUUUCAAUGCAAUACAAUUGUCAACUAAUAUUAAUAUACUAUACUUUAUAAGUUAAUUUAUAAUAAUCACAGCAUUAAUUUUCAAACAAAAUGUUUAAUAUAAAUUUAUUGCAUGUUUUUUAACCAGGUUUUCCGAAGGAAAAAACUGGUUAUUAGAUUGGCGAAUGCGGGCGGGCUGGCGGGCUGGCUGGCUGGCGGGCUGGCGGGCUGGCGGGCUGGCGGGCGGGCGGAACAAGCUUGUCCGGGCCAUAACUAUGUCGUUCAUUGUCAGAUUUAAAAAUCAUUUGGCACAUUUGUUCACCAUCAUUGGACGGUGUGUCGCGCGAAAUAAUUACGUCGAUAUCUCCAAGGUCAAGGUCACACUUUGAGUUCAAAGGUCAAAAAUGGCCAUAAAUGAGCUUGUCCUGGCCAUAACAAUGUCAUUCAUUGUGAGAUUUUAAAAUCAUUUGGCACAUUUGUUCACCAUCAUGGGACGGUGUGUCGCACGAAAGAAUCACGUCAAUAUCUCCAAUGUCAAGGUCGCCACGACUAAAAAUAGAAUUUUUUUUUUAAAACAAACUUACAAAGGGGGUUAAUUUUGUUGGUUCAUUUCAAAAGUUCAGUUUGAGUUUCCUCCCUUUAUCAGAUUUUUUUUCACAAUGAAAACCUGGUUUUGUGACAAUUUUGUCCCUUGUUUCCUUUGUUUUGUUUUAUAUAAGGGUAAAUCUCUUUAAUUUUGUAUACUGUUUUCAAUGUGAUCAUGUACAUGUAUACCUAUGGUUUGCAUGUUCACUGUGAUGUUAACAUAUGGUUUGCAUAUAUAUAUAUAUAUAUAUAUAUAUAUAUAUGAUAAUCUAUUUAUUUACCAUUGUGUUCUUCACUGCUGGCUGUUGUGGCACUCUCACUUCUUUGUUAUGCAUAUGAAGACGCUGCAAAAACAAAAAAAGAAACAAUUUAUUCAACUUGAUAGCUUUGUAAAACACUUAUGCACAUACACCUAUGCUCAUUAACACAUUACAAUUAUGCCAAGUUUUGAUGAAUCUGUAACAACAGUUAAAUUCAAAGUUCAUUUAAAAUUGAAAAAUUAGUAAUGUUAUCAGGGCUUCCCCUGGCUCAAGUCAACAAUUUCUUUAGCCAAAUUCGCCUUUCUAUGGCAAAAUUCUUUUAUGUUUGGCUACUUUAUUAGUUUUUUAUGAAGAAAACGUUGUAGCCAGAUUGAAUUUUCUUUAGCCAAAUAGGUCAAUUUGUAGCCAUUGGCUAAUUUGACGAAUGGCAGAGUGAGCCCUGUGUUAUCAUUUGCCGAUGAAUAUAACAUUUAUUGUAGCAUUGUGUGUUAUUUAUGUGUUUAUAAAUAAGAACAAGAGGAAUGUUUGUAUUGAAUCGCUGUUGUUGUGUUUUAAACUUGAUUUAAAGUACCAACAAUUUUUUAUAAAAACAAUUUUAUUUAAGUGUGUGUAUAAUAUUUUUAAUGCACACAUUUAUAUGCAAUACAUGUUAUGUAUAUUUAUUGUUUAAUAGGUAUAUGGUGAUUUGUUAAAGUACUUUUCUGUUCCUGAUUGCUCGUUGUUGUUUUUGCCCGAAUCGACAUCUGUGAUGCAACAUCUAAAAAAACAUAUAUAUGAUCAAUAAAACAAUGUAAUUAUUUGAUAA